GAGGAAGAUGGCGGCGUCCGCAGCUGCCGCUGAGCCCCAGGCUUCUCGGGGUCCGCAGCACCCAGUGUGUCUGUUGGUGUUGGGAAUGGCGGGAUCCGGGAAAACCACUUUUGUACAGAGGCUCACAGGACACCUGCAUGCCCAAGGCACUCCACCGUAUGUGAUCAACCUGGAUCCAGCAGUACAUGAAGUUCCCUUUCCUGCCAAUAUUGAUAUUCGUGACACUGUAAAGUAUAAAGAAGUAAUGAAACAGUAUCCUUUUCCAUCUACUUUGGUCUUGACUCAUUCCUGGCUUCUUGUCUGUGUAUUUUGUGGCUUAAAAGAGUGUUUUUGCCUUUUCCUUGUGAAAUAUACAAGCAAAAGGAUGGAAGCUGAUUGUGGGAGAGGUAGGUGAUCAGAAAUACUAUUUCAGCUUGAGAUUUUAGUUUUCUUACCAUCUCCCCAGAUGGCAGGCUGUUGUAAUUAAAGAGCAGAGAGUAUGAUAGGAUAACUGACAGCUACCUGGGUCCCACAAGGUAGUAUUUUGCCUUGGAGGAUCAUCUGUUGGUCACCACCUCUUUAGACUGGGAAACUCAGAAAUGAGUGAGUUUAGUUGGAUUAACUCUUAGUAAAUUGCUGUAUGAAAUGUGCACUCUCUCCGUAGGCAAGUCUAAGUAGGAAGACUAAUCAUAAUCAGCAGAUUGCUUGAUUUAUUUAUGAGGAUCAGAGCCGGAGGUGUUAUACAGGUGGCUUUAAUGACCAAUGCCAGUGGGCUGUCACUGCCUGAUGCACCUGUAUUACAUUUUGGUCACUUUGUUUUCUUCAUUUUGCCUGACCAUUCCUAAAA
rnacentral:sRNA from 1 species